rnacentral:rRNA from 1 species
GGGUUGUGAGGUUAAGCGACUAAGCGUACACGGUGGAUGCCCUGGCAGUCAGAGGCGAUGAAGGACGUGCUAAUCUGCGAUAAGCGUCGGUAAGGUGAUAUGAACCGUUAUAACCGGCGAUUUCCGAAUGGGGAAACCCAGUGUGAUUCGUCACACUAUCAUUAACUGAAUCCAUAGGUUAAUGAGGCGAACCGGGGGAACUGAAACAUCUAAGUACCCCGAGGAAAAGAAAUCAACCGAGAUUCCCCCAGUAGCGGCGAGCGAACGGGGAGGAGCCCAGAGCCUGAAUCAGUGUGUGUGUUAGUGGAAGCGUCUGGAAAGGCGCGCGAUACAGGGUGACAGCCCCGUACACAAAAAUGCACAUGCUGUGAGCUCGAUGAGUAGGGCGGGACACGUGGUAUCCUGUCUGAAUAUGGGGGGACCAUCCUCCAAGGCUAAAUACUCCUGACUGACCGAUAGUGAACCAGUACCGUGAGGGAAAGGCGAAAAGAACCCCGGCGAGGGGAGUGAAAAAGAACCUGAAACCGUGUACGUACAAGCAGUGGGAGCCUCUUUAUGGGGUGACUGCGUACCUUUUGUAUAAUGGGUCAGCGACUUAUAUUCUGUAGCAAGGUUAACCGAAUAGGGGAGCCGAAGGGAAACCGAGUCUUAACUGGGCGUUAAGUUGCAGGGUAUAGACCCGAAACCCGGUGAUCUAGCCAUGGGCAGGUUGAAGGUUGGGUAACACUAACUGGAGGACCGAACCGACUAAUGUUGAAAAAUUAGCGGAUGACUUGUGGCUGGGGGUGAAAGGCCAAUCAAACCGGGAGAUAGCUGGUUCUCCCCGAAAGCUAUUUAGGUAGCGCCUCGUGAAUUCAUCUCCGGGGGUAGAGCACUGUUUCGGCAAGGGGGUCAUCCCGACUUACCAACCCGAUGCAAACUGCGAAUACCGGAGAAUGUUAUCACGGGAGACACACGGCGGGUGCUAACGUCCGUCGUGAAGAGGGAAACAACCCAGACCGCCAGCUAAGGUCCCAAAGUCAUGGUUAAGUGGGAAACGAUGUGGGAAGGCCCAGACAGCCAGGAUGUUGGCUUAGAAGCAGCCAUCAUUUAAAGAAAGCGUAAUAGCUCACUGGUCGAGUCGGCCUGCGCGGAAGAUGUAACGGGGCUAAACCAUGCACCGAAGCUGCGGCAGCGACGCUUAUGCGUUGUUGGGUAGGGGAGCGUUCUGUAAGCCUGCGAAGGUGUACUGUGAGGUAUGCUGGAGGUAUCAGAAGUGCGAAUGCUGACAUAAGUAACGAUAAAGCGGGUGAAAAGCCCGCUCGCCGGAAGACCAAGGGUUCCUGUCCAACGUUAAUCGGGGCAGGGUGAGUCGACCCCUAAGGCGAGGCCGAAAGGCGUAGUCGAUGGGAAACAGGUUAAUAUUCCUGUACUUGGUGUUACUGCGAAGGGGGGACGGAGAAGGCUAUGUUGGCCGGGCGACGGUUGUCCCGGUUUAAGCGUGUAGGCUGGUUUUCCAGGCAAAUCCGGAAAACUAAGGCUGAGGCGUGAUGACGAGGCACUACGGUGCUGAAGCAACAAAUGCCCUGCUUCCAGGAAAAGCCUCUAAGCAUCAGGUAACAUCAAAUCGUACCCCAAACCGACACAGGUGGUCAGGUAGAGAAUACCAAGGCGCUUGAGAGAACUCGGGUGAAGGAACUAGGCAAAAUGGUGCCGUAACUUCGGGAGAAGGCACGCUGAUAUGUAGGUGAAGUCCCUCGCGGAUGGAGCUGAAAUCAGUCGAAGAUACCAGCUGGCUGCAACUGUUUAUUAAAAACACAGCACUGUGCAAACACGAAAGUGGACGUAUACGGUGUGACGCCUGCCCGGUGCCGGAAGGUUAAUUGAUGGGGUUAGCGGUAACGCGAAGCUCUUGAUCGAAGCCCCGGUAAACGGCGGCCGUAACUAUAACGGUCCUAAGGUAGCGAAAUUCCUUGUCGGGUAAGUUCCGACCUGCACGAAUGGCGUAAUGAUGGCCAGGCUGUCUCCACCCGAGACUCAGUGAAAUUGAACUCGCUGUGAAGAUGCAGUGUACCCGCGGCAAGACGGAAAGACCCCGUGAACCUUUACUAUAGCUUGACACUGAACAUUGAGCCUUGAUGUGUAGGAUAGGUGGGAGGCUUUGAAGUGUGGACGCCAGUCUGCAUGGAGCCGACCUUGAAAUACCACCCUUUAAUGUUUGAUGUUCUAACGUUGGCCCCUGAUCGGGGUUGCGGACAGUGUCUGGUGGGUAGUUUGACUGGGGCGGUCUCCUCCUAAAGAGUAACGGAGGAGCACGAAGGUUGGCUAAUCCUGGUCGGACAUCAGGAGGUUAGUGCAAUGGCAUAAGCCAGCUUGACUGCGAGCGUGACGGCGCGAGCAGGUGCGAAAGCAGGUCAUAGUGAUCCGGUGGUUCUGAAUGGAAGGGCCAUCGCUCAACGGAUAAAAGGUACUCCGGGGAUAACAGGCUGAUACCGCCCAAGAGUUCAUAUCGACGGCGGUGUUUGGCACCUCGAUGUCGGCUCAUCACAUCCUGGGGCUGAAGUAGGUCCCAAGGGUAUGGCUGUUCGCCAUUUAAAGUGGUACGCGAGCUGGGUUUAGAACGUCGUGAGACAGUUCGGUCCCUAUCUGCCGUGGGCGCUGGAGAACUGAGGGGGGCUGCUCCUAGUACGAGAGGACCGGAGUGGACGCAUCACUGGUGUUCGGGUUGUCAUGCCAAUGGCACUGCCCGGUAGCUAAAUGCGGAAGAGAUAAGUGCUGAAAGCAUCUAAGCACGAAACUUGCCCCGAGAUGAGUUCUCCCUGACUCCUUGAGAGUCCUGAAGGAACGUUGAAGACGACGACGUUGAUAGGCCGGGUGUGUAAGCGCAGCGAUGCGUUGAGCUAACCGGUACUAAUGAACCGUGAGGCUUAACCUUACAACGCCGAAG